rnacentral:lncRNA from 1 species
UCACACACAACACCAACAGCACAAUCCACAGGAGAAAACUGAUAAACCGGACUUCAUCAAAAUGAAACACCUUUGCUCUGUGAAAGACCUUUUGAGAGAAAGAAGAGAAGCUUCAGACCAGCAGAAAAUACUGGAAACCACAUAGCUGACAAACACUCAUAUACAGAACUCUCAAAGCUAACAAAACAAUGCAAUCAUAAAACGAGCAGAAGUCUGAAAGACAUUUCACCAAAGAUGACACACCGACAGCAAAGCAAUGUGCAAGGGGAUGAGCGUGAGAGGCGUGGAGGGAACAAGAGUGAGAGGCGUGGGAGAGGAUGAGGGUGAGAGAUGUAGGAGAGGGUGACGGUGAGAGGCGUGGGAGAGGGAGAGGAUGAGAGGCGUGGGAGAAGGUGAGAGGCGUGGGAGAGGGUGAGAGGCGUGGGAGAGGGUGAGAGGCGUGUGAGAAGGUGAGAGGCGUGGGAGAGGGUGAGAGGCGUGGGAGAGGGUGAGAGGCGUGGGAGAGGGUGAGAGGCGUGGGAGAGGGUGAGAGGCGUGGGAGGGGGUGAGAGGCGUGGGAGGGGGUGAGUGUGAGAAGUCUGGGAGGGGUGAGUGUGAGAAGUCUGGGAGGGGGCGAGUGUGAGAAGUCUGGGAGGGGUGAGUGUGAGAAGUCUGGGAGGGGUGAGUGUGAGAAGUCUGGGAGGGGGUGAGUGUGAGAAGUCUGGGAGGGGUGAGUGUGAGAAGUCUGGGAGAGGAUGCUCCCCAUCAGCAGUCACAGGGAUACGCACGCUGAAGCCUCGAGGAAACACCAGCGCACCCAACAGAAGCGCUAAAUAAAAAGUGGGUAAGAGCUAACGCUGGCGAGGACGCCGGCGAGGAGGGGAGAAAGGCGGCCACUGCAACAUCGCCGGUGGGCGUGUGAAAGGCUGCAGCCACUCUGGAGUGUGGUUCAGCAAUUUCCUCG